UCUUUGCCACCGUAGUGACCUUUGUUCGUCAGAUAAUGGAAGAUCUCUAUCGUAUCCAAGGGGAUUUGGUGCGUAGACCCGCGACGAUACUGAAUGAUGUCCUGCGGGUCCCAGGAGCAGCUAAGGCAUUGAUGUAUUCAUGAUUUUCAUUGAAGUUUGUUAGUCUAUUUUCCAGUCUGAUUUCAUCUUUCUAUUGGAGUCUGUGAGUAUGUUUUUAGAGUCUGCAUUUUUGUUUUUAGAGUUUGUCAAUUCCUUUAUUAGUCGGUUAUCGGAUGGGUCGUUGUAGUGAAAAUGUUUGUUUUAUAAAAAGUUUGAAAAUCCC
rnacentral:lncRNA from 1 species